AAGUCAAAAAAAUUACUAAUUUUUGUUAAAAAAAUUUAGCUACGGAAUAACCGUAGUUAAAUCCGUAGCUAAACUAAAAUUUAAUUCGUAGCUACGGACUCUGCCCGUAGCCGGAUAUUGUGACUUAUUAGCUACGGAAUGUCCGUAGCAAAAUCCGUACCUAAGACCAAAUUUGAAAUCUAAAGGUGCAGCCGCGGUUUUUCUUCUUCUCAUUUUCCCCUAAUUGCAAACCCUAGCGUUUCUCACUCUUCCGGCGCCGUUCAUCCCGUCGCCGCGGUUGCUCCGCCGUUUCUCUCAAAGUCGUCGGUAGGUGCCGCCACCGUGCUCGCUCACCGUCGCAGGCGCCGGAGAGAGCUUUUAUAAUCCCUACAUUGCUGGUGCUCUGGUGUUGCUGAAUAAAGAGGGAUUAAUUGAAGAAAGCGAAGGUCCUCGUGUCAUAUUCAUUGAAGGAAAAAACAUACCCCUUAUUGUUGUAAUAUAAUUAUGCAUCAACAGAUCUUGCUGCGCUGUGGGUACUGCUGUUGCUACUGCACCGUUUGCUGCUACUGCUGUUGAUUCUUCUCCUUCUCAAAGAGAGAGAGAAUGGUCCUGAAUUUCAAGGUGGAGGUACAAGAAAUUGCUGCAGAGAUGGGCCAAUCUAAUCCUGAUACGCCCGUGGAUAUGAACAAGAUUUAUCUAGAUGUCUUGGGAGGCGGUUUAGAUAAAAAACAAAGAUUGUUCGGCACAGGUAGUCUCGCAUUGACCUUGAAGACCAAUAUAUCGGGAGAGAGUAGUACUUCAGCAAUGUCCGACAUUGACAAAGAGCAGUAUGCCACUCGCCUAGGAGAUGUAGAGGAGCAGCUUCAAGAGGAGCGAGAAAGGACAUCUCGAUUAGAAGAACAGGUUAAAGUUGCAAUGGAGAUUAUCAAGCAGUUGCAAGGGCAAUCAAGCAGUGCCACUAGCCAUCCAGAUCCACCAUCACAUGUUCCAUGAUUAUACAUGUGUUUUGAUUUUGAUAUCGACUAUCUCUAGGUGCUUGAUUUUGAAAUACUUGUUAGAUAUGUGAUUUUUAAACUAUUUUGGUUUGUGACUACUAUUUCUAGGUGUUUGGUUUUGAAAUACUUGUUAGACACGUGAUUUCUAAACUAUCUUGGUUUAUGACUAUUUUGGUUUAUGACUUUGAUA